UUAAUCAACUCGGAGUAGUUUGACCCGGAGUCAAGCGCGUGCACCGCAACUCUGAAAAGACAGCAUCAAUGGAACCCCGAUUCGACGAGUCACCAUGGAAACGGGGAAGCGAAAGGCUGCGUUUUUGAACUGGAAGUUUUUAACGCGCUCAUAUUGCGAGUUUGAACACGUUUUUAGAAAGAAGUGCAACACCGCUGCAGCUGCAAAAGAGAGAGAGACGGCGUGGAGAACAGCCCGGAUCAAUGCCACAACAGACCUUGUAAUUGAUGAAGAGGAUGAAACUGUGUCUGCUGCCUUUACAGAGGGGGAUCCAGAAAGGCAUACAGAGAGCAUGGCUGGACAGCAGCAGGAUGGUUCCUCAGCUUCCACUGCACAGACUGACACAGUGAGAUGGAUGUUCAGGAAACACCAGAGCUUCAUUCUGUGGAAUUCAUGUGCAACUGUAAAAUUGAAUGUCCUCUAUGUAUUCCCAGUUAUCAGUAAAACAGAUUUACAAACUGUAUUUGCUGAGAAGAAUCCAAAAAACAGAUUAGGAGGACAGAUCUGGAAAUUGAAAUACUGGAGCACAAGUUAGAGGUGGUGAUGGUCACAGGUGAAUUAUGUUAACUACUGGAACAUGAACUGAACUGUUUAUUUGUAGGAAAUAAAGAAGAGCAAAUGAAA